GGAUGCUUGACUAACGGCAUGGAAUUCGUAGAUUGUCGUCGAGAUCGUCAAGAACGUCUUCCAGCUCCCGAACCUCCAGCACGCGAAAGGCGCUGCCGGCACCAUCAGCAAGCUUGAGACGCAGAAGUUCGGCGUCGACUUCGACAUGUAUACGGACAACAUUGGUCUGCCAAGCUACUGGCCUACGUCCAUGCUUGUCACGUAUGGAGCGUAAUGAAUACAGAUCUGAUGACCCAUGUCUUGAAUGAAUCUUGAUGCUGGAUGAGCGAUAUAUGUCG
rnacentral:misc_RNA from 1 species